rnacentral:rRNA from 1 species
UGGGGAAUAUUGCACAAUGGGGGAAACCCUGAUGCAGCAACGCCGCGUGAAGGAAGACGGUUUUCGGAUUGUAAACUUCUGUUCUUAGUGAAGAAAGAAUGACGGUAGCUAAGGAGCAAGCCACGGCUAACUACGUGCCAGCAGCCGCGGUAAUACGUAGGUGGCAAGCGUUGUCCGGAAUUACUGGGUGUAAAGGGAGCGCAGGCGGGAGAUCAAGUCAGCUGUGAAAACUACGGGCUUAACUUGUAGACUGCAGUUGAAACUGAUUUUCUUGAGUGAAGUAGAGGUC